ACGUGGCCCGGAUAGCGCACGCGCACAUCCUCCCCUUCACCACGCUCGGGUGAACAUGGCUGAAGUGUCCGAGAGAGUUUUGCAACUUGCCGUGGUUCUGUCUUUCACUUCGGGGGUCAUUAUCGGCUGGCAGGCAAACAUCCUGAGGAGGAGGUUCCUGGAUUGGAGGAAAAAGCGGCUGCAGUCGAAACUGAUCGAGACGCAGAAGAAACUGGAUUUAGCUUAAGUAGGGGACAGUGAAGGGCGCCUCAAUCCGCUGGGAGUAAGAAGCAGAAUUCGCCUUUUACUAUGUCACACAAACAGGCCAAUAACAUGCAGAAGUAAGGACCUGAGAUGCCAAUAGUGACUGUGAAAAUACUGGUAGAAUCUGUUUUCUGAAGCAAUCAAGUGAAGCAGCAGCUGUAGAAAAGACUCUUCUGUUUUGAACUCUGAUUCAGGAAUUGCUUACACAGAAAGCUGUUUUUGUUUUGAAUGUCUUUGACUAUGCCGAAGAAGCAGAUUUGCUCCUUGCUCCUAUUUAAUGUGCAAAAAAUCUAUUGAUAUAAGGGUAAUUUGUAUCUACGUUUUAAAUGAGAUGUUUCAAUUGCAACUGCUGUAGGGAUAGGAACAAGUAAUGGCAAGCUAUUAUUUCAGUGUGAGUUUCAAAAUAUUUUUCCCCUCUUAUAACAGUUGUGCUUUUCAUCAUUUCAAGGAUGAAUAUUGGAAUGUCUUGAAGGGUAACACUUUUUUUUCUUACACUGAUUUUGAGGAGAUCUUUAGAUUGUCCUGAACUAAAAGCACUCCAAUUCAGCUGAUUUUGAAAGUCUGUUUACUUUUGGGAAAGAUGCUGACUAAUGAUGAACUGUGGAAAAGAACAUUUUUUGUCGGGGGGGGCAGUAAAUAAACAUUUUAAUUUGGUAGUGUUUUAGUAGUGAGGGGUGCAUAAACAUAGAAUUAGCUCUAUAAGCAUAAAGUGGGUAUUAGGGGUUCAGUCAACCACACCAUUUUAAGAGGAAAUUAGAUAGGCAACUGAAAAACAAAUAAAAAUCUAAAAAUUAUACACAGAAAAAGCAUAAAAUGAGAUUGGAGAAGAUGACUCCAUAUGGAGCUAGAAUCAGCAUUGUCAUGAUGGAGUGAAAUGACUACAAUAUUGUCUUGCAUAAGUGGGGCAUAUUGCAGGCACUACUAGUGUAAUUCCAGCCAUACCAAGCAUUUUAGCAUAAAUUUGGAGUGACGAGCUCCAAGUUUCUCCUUAGUGCAAAACAUGCAACGGUUAUUCCUUUUAUAUCUCUUUUUAAGUCAAUUUACACAGGUAUACAUAUUUCAUUGUCAUAAGCAAUGGGUUUACGUGGAGUUUGUGUUCGGAAUUUUCAUUGCAAAGUAUUAACAGGACUGUGAUUUUUACUGUGUGGAAUACUAACCAAUGUGAAGAAAUCGCACCAGUUUGUUAACAAUACAAUGCUGUGUUUUUUUUUCCUGCAAUACCUGUUUUAAUAAAGGUUGAUUAUUUGUACCAGC